rnacentral:ncRNA from 2 species
GCCGGUCUUCAGGGCGGGGUGAAAUUCCCCACCGGCGGUAUGCCGCGGCGUUUGCCGGCGGCGAGCCCGCGAGCGCCGCGCAGUCGUAGCCACGACGCGCGGGUCAGCAGAUUCGGUGCGAAGCCGAAGCCGACGGUGAGAGUCCGGAUGAGAGAAGACGCGC